GAAGAGCCCGAUUGUGUGCCGUAAUCCUGAAAGCUUUUUCCUGUUUAGAUUCCGCGGGGGAGAAGAGGUGCUGCACUGGAGCAAACCAGUCUUCAAAACAAUGGAUGAGCGCCACCAGUGCAAGAGGGGUGCAGAGAACCGCAUGCUGGAUUGACUGUGUUGGCGCCACCUAGAGUGAGGGUGUACUAAUGAGAGCAAAACGAAUACAAAAGAAAAACGGGGGAAGCACAAAGCUUUAAGAAAGCCGGGAGAUGGAUUUUAUAUCUUUAAACACUGCAAUAACAGUUCUGCUUGUGAAGCAUCCA